rnacentral:rRNA from 1 species
GACGAACGCUGGCGGCGUGCUUAACACAUGCAAGUCGAACGGAAAGGCCCUGCUUUUGUGGGGUGCUCGAGUGGCGAACGGGUGAGUAACACGUGAGUAACCUGCCCUUGACUUUGGGAUAACUUCAGGAAACGGGGGUUACUCCCGUAUAGGAGCUCCUGCUCCGGGGUGGGGGUGGGAAAUUUUCGGCGGUUGGGGAUGGAUUCGCGGCUGAUGAGCUUGUUGGUGGGGUAGUGGCUUACCAAGGCUUUGAAGGGUAGCCGGCCUGAGAGGGUGACCGGCCACAUUGGGACUGAGAUACGGCCCAGACUCCUACGGGAGGCAGCAGUGGGGAAUAUUGCACAAUGGGCGGAAGCGUGAUGCAGCAACGCCGCGUGCGGGAUGACGGCCUGCGGGUUGUAAACCGCUUUCGCCUGUGACGAAGCGUGAGUGACGGUAAUGGGUAAAGAAGCACCGGCUAACUACGUG